GCCCGGCUGGCACAAUCGGUAGCGCGUGAGACUCUUAAUCUCAAGGUUGUGAGUUCGAGCCUCACGUCGGGCU
rnacentral:tRNA from 1 species